GAUGAACGCUAGCGGCAGGCCUAAUACAUGCAAGUCGGACGGGAUUCAGGAGCUUGCUUCUGAUGAGAGUGGCGCACGGGUGCGUAACACGUAUGUAACCUACCUUUAUCAGGGGGAUAGCCUCUCGAAAGAGAGAUUAAGCCCGCAUAAAAUCACAGCACAGCAUUGUGUAAUGAUCAAAUAUUUAUAGGAUAAAGAUGGGCAUGCGGAACAUUAGCUAGAUGGCGGGGUAACGGCCCACCAUGGCGACGAUGUUUAGGGGAUCUGAGAGGAUGGCCCCCCACACUGGUACUGAGACACGGACCAGACUCCUACGGGAGGCAGCAGUAAGGAAUAUUGGUCAAUGGGCGGAAGCCUGAACCAGCCAUGCCGCGUGCAGGAAGACGGCCCUACGGGUUGUAAACUGCUUUUAUACGGGAAUAAACCCAGAUACGUGUAUCUGGCUGAAUGUACUGUAAGAAUAAGGAUCGGCAAACUCCGUG
rnacentral:rRNA from 1 species